rnacentral:misc_RNA from 1 species
UCCAGUAUUUGUAGAAGGAGCAAACCUCAGUACUGGUGAUAUGCAUUUUUCUCAAGGUGACGGUGAAGUAUCAUUUUGUGGGGCAAUUGAGAUGAGUGGCUUCCUAGAGCUCAAGUGUGAGAUUAUAAGAAACGGAAUGAAAGAAUAUCUCACUCCAAUGGGACCCACAUCACUACAUGUGAACCCAAUUUUUGAGAUAGGACCCAUGGAGCCAAGAUUCUCGGAGUGGUUGGUGUUUGAGGGCAUCAGUGUAGAUGAAAGUGGACAACAACACUAUCUUGAUGCCAGUGUUGCAUACAAGCGUGCAGUACUAAAUGCAAUUGAUUACCUCUCAAAAUUUGGCUACUCAAAGGAACAGGUUUAUCUUUUACUUUCGUGCUGUCCAUGCGAAGGAAGGAUUUCAGGAAUUGUUGAUGCCCCCAAUGCUGUUGCCACCCUUGCCAUCCCAACAGCUAUUUUUGACCAGGAUAUUCGCCCAAAGGUCAAUAAAG